AGGGUUUGAUCAUGGCUCAGAUUGAACGCUGGCGGCAGGCCUAACACAUGCAAGUCGAGCGGAAACGAGUUAUCUGAACCUUCGGGGAACGAUAACGGCGUCGAGCGGCGGACGGGUGAGUAAUGCCUAGGAAAUUGCCUUGAUGUGGGGGAUAACCAUUGGAAACGAUGGCUAAUACCGCAUAACGCCUACGGGCCAAAGAGGGGGACCUUCGGGCCUCUCGCGUCAAGAUAUGCCUAGGUGGGAUUAGCUAGUUGGUGAGGUAAUGGCUCACCAAGGCGACGAUCCCUAGCUGGUCUGAGAGGAUGAUCAGCCACACUGGAACUGAGACACGGUCCAGACUCCUACGGGAGGCAGCAGUGGGGAAUAUUGCACAAUGGGCGAAAGCCUGAUGCAGCCAUGCCGCGUGUAUGAAGAAGGCCUUCGGGUUGUAAAGUACUUUCAGUUGUGAGGAAGGGGGUGUCGUUAAUAGCGGCAUCUCUUGACGUUAGCAACAGAAGAAGCACCGGCUAACUCCGUGCCAGCCGCCGCGGUAAUAC
rnacentral:rRNA from 1 species